rnacentral:rRNA from 1 species
GGGUCAGUAGGUUGGUCGUGCCACCGGUACGUACUGGUCUCACUGAUUCCUCCUUCCUGAAGAACCGUUAUGCCAUUAAUUAGGUGUUGCGGGGAAACAGGACUGUUACUUUGAAAAAAUUAGAGUGUUUAAAGCAAGCUAACGCUUGAAUACAUUAGCAUGGAAUAAUGAAAUAGGACGAUCGAUCCUCUUUUGUUGGUUUCUAGGAUUGACGUA